rnacentral:rRNA from 1 species
CACCCAACAGCUAGCCCUCCCUCCCAAAAAUAACAACAAAACAUUAAUACCCCCUAAGACCCAAACAACUUUUAAACAAACCAUUUUUCCCCCUAAGUAUGGGCGACAGAAAAGGACCACAGGCGCUAUAGAAAAGUACCGCAAGGGAAAGCUGAAAAAGAAGUGAAACAACCCAGUAAAGUACAAAAAAGCAGAGAUGAAACCUCGUACCUUUUGCAUCAUGACCUAGCCAGAAAACAUUAAGCGAAAUGAAUUUUAGUUUAAUUCCCCGAAACUAAGUGAGCUACUCCAAGACAGCCUAUUAUAGGGCACACCCGUCUCUGUGGCAAAAGAGUGGGAAGAGCUUCGAGUAGAGGUGACAGACCUACCGAACUUAGUUAUAGCUGGUUGCCUAAGAAAUGAAUAGAAGUUCAGCCUUUUGGUUUCUUACCUCAGACCUGGCGACGCCCGCCACAGACCACAAGAAGAUCAAAAGAGUUAGUCAAAAGGGGUACAGCCCUUCUGAAAAAGACACAACUUUAACAAGCAGGUAAAAGAUCAAAAGAAUAUAAGGCACUAUAUUAGGGUGGGCCUAAAAGCAGCCAUCCCCUCAGAAAGCGUUAAACCUCAAAUAUUUGCCACCCUCUAAUACCGACAAAAACAUCUUAAACCUCUUAACCUAUUAGGCCUCCCUAUGCCCCCAUAGGAGAGAAUAUGCUAACAUGAGUAAUAAGAAGGCCCCGACCUUCUCCCAGCACCUGUGUACAUCAGAACGAACCCCCACUGAAAAUUAACGCCCCCAAUUAAAGAGAGUAUUGAUUGAUAAACUACUACACCGGAAGACCCCUCAACAAUAAGCGUUACCCCCACACAGGAGUGCCCCAGGAAAGACUAAAAGAAAAAGAAGGAACUCGGCAAACACUAGCCUCGCCUGUUUACCAAAAACAUCGCCUCUUGAGACUUAAAAUUAUAAGAGGUCCCGCCUGCCCUGUGACUAUAUGUUUAACGGCCGCGGUAUUUUGACCGUGCGAAGGUAGCGCAAUCACUUGUCUUUUAAAUGAAGACCUGUAUGAAUGGCAUAACGAGGGCUAAGCUGUCUCCUUUUUCCGGUCAAUGAAAUUGAUCUACCCGUGCAGAAGCGGGUAUAAUGACAUAAGACGAGAAGACCCUAUGGAGCUUCAGACACCAGGGCAGACUGUGUUAAAGACCCUUAAUUAAAAGAUUAAACCAAACAGCCCCUGCCCCCUUGUCUUUGGUUGGGGCGACCGCGGGGUAACAAACAACCCCCACGUGGAACAGGGAAACCCCCCUUAAUAUGAGGGCCACAGCCCUAAUAAGCAGAACAUCUGACCAUCAAGAUCCGGCUUUGCCGAUCAACGGACCUAGUUACCCUAGGGAUAACAGCGCAAUCCUCUUUUAGAGCCCAUAUCGACAAGAGGGUUUACGACCUCGAUGUUGGAUCAGGACAUCCUAAUGGUGCAGCCGCUAUUAAGGGUUCGUUUGUUCAACGAUUAAAGUCCUACGUGAUCUGAGUUCAGACCGGAGAAAUCCAGGUCAGUUUCUAUCUAUGGAGUGUUCUUCUCUAGUACGAAAGGACCGAGAAGAAGAGGCCCCUGCCAAGGCAAGCCUCCCCCCAACCUUAAGAAAUCAACUAAAAAAGGUAUAGGGGCAUACCCGCUCCGCCUAAGAAAAAGGCAU